GAGACACCCUUCUGGGGCAAGACUUGCUUCAGUGGGGCUUUGGUGCUCACUGAGUCUGCCCGCUGAGUGUGUCCCU
rfam:Myotis lucifugus cont2.3920, whole genome shotgun sequence.